CUCACACACACACAUACACACACAUACACACACACACGGUGAGAUAUUGUUUAUGAUUUAUUAAAGCCUGCCUGAGGAUUAAAAUAGUACAGUCAGCCAUAGGCUGCAGAAGCUGGGCACACACCUUUAAUCCCAGCAGCCAGAAGCUAGGAGAAGGUGGUACACACCUUUAAUCCUAGGAUUUAGGAUUAAGAGUCAGUUGAAUCUCUGAGUACAAGGCCACCCAGACCUACACAAGAGUGAGUCAGUCUAAAAGAGAAUUAUAGCUCACACCUUUAAUCCCAACAUUAGGAAGUAUAUAAGGCAAGGUCUCAGACAGGCUUUGCAUUCUCCAGCCACGCUGAGGAGAGGCAGCGGUUUAAAUCAGAACUUUUAGCCUGAGCUAGAGGUGGGAGCUAGUGGCUGGCUGUUUUGCUUUUCUGAUAGUCAGCUUGAAGCUUGAACCCCAAUAUCAGUCUCUGGGUCUUUUGUUUUUUGUGCUACAGACACACACUACAACAUGUAUAAGCCUUGAAGACAUUAUGCUAAGUGCAACAGGCUAUGCACACUAUGGUUCCAUUUAUAGGACAGGACAGAACAGGCAAAUCACAGUAACAGGAAGUAAUGUGGUGGAUGUAGGGUGUUCAGUGGGUGCAAUGAGAACGACUGUUCAAAUGUAUGUCAUCUCUUUCUUUGUGAGUGGUGAUGGGAGAAUCUUAGGAGCAGAAGCUAAUGUUGGCGUUACAACAUAGUGAAUACACUGAAAUUUACUGACUUUUAAAGAAAAGAAAUUUAUGUUAUAUGAAUUUAUCUCAAUUAAAAAAUAACUAGGGUCAGGUACUUUAAUAUCAGCACUUGGAAGGCAGAGUGGGGCAGAUCUCUCUGAAUUCAAGAUCAACUACAUAGUCAGGGCUACACAGUGAGAGACCCUAUCUAAAAACAAAAUGGGUAAUACGGGGUUGGGGAAAAAGAUAAAAUAGAAAUUCCACUAUUCCAAGUGAAGAGAAACUAGGAAACCAGCUGCUAUUUUUGCUGCCCUGAGGUGUGUCUAGAUUUUGGAGACUAGUUUCUAGGUUUUUUCACAGAUGCCUGGUCUACUGGGUAGGAAGCAGGAUGGUGUCAUCAUGUCAACUUGGGAUCUAUGACGGAUGCAAUUUCCAGAGAAAGACAGUGAUGGAAAACCUUGUCCUCCAGCAGAAGGGGAUGGCAGGUCUUCCUGAUCCUGGUCUGGAAGUACAAUAUGCUACUUUUGGGAUCUAUGCUCUUCAGACUAAGAGUGUAAUGUGGUGUCACAGAUGGAAUACCUUGGCGACACUCAAUGGAAGAACCACAAAACUUUUCUAGAAAGAAACCUUUCAACCAGGUUCUACAUAGUCAUAGGCAAGAUAGGUAAGUCCUCAGUGACAGUUCCAAAUGGAGAACCAUACAAGGACUUAAGCCCCUCGAUAUUAACAAAUAGCUGGAUUUGAUGCCCCCCAUUUGUUAUUUUCAUCUUCUUUUCACCUUCUAUUCCCUUUCCUUUCUAGUGUGGACAGUGUUGCCAUGUCUGUAGAAUUUAAAAUCCUUCUGUCUCAAGUGCUGGAAUGACAGCUGUGUGCCAUGCUUGGCUCCCCCUACCUCCGCCUUUUCAACUAAAUGUGAAAAUUCUACCUUUGGUUAUAAACUAACCAGAAGUCAUCUUAAACUCUCUUGGCUUAGAACGUCUUCAAUGCAGUAGGCCUAUUGAGAUCUCUCUUCUCAUAGCUCCCAAAAGCUAUUACCAAUGAAGCUGGUAUUGUAAAGCCUCUCACGAACUGCCACCUUACAUGCCGAUUGCAUGGGCAGUUUAGGAGUGCAUGCCGUUUGUCUCCCUAGCUUUUGUGGCAUAGGCCAUUCCUGACCUCACCUUGGCUACUCCUUGAGCAUUAGGAUCAGCAGGACUUUCAACCCUCUGAUGGACAAAGAAGCCUUCAGGGCCUGUCAGGCAGCCCGAGUUGGACUCACUGAAGACUUUUCCUCUCCCCAAGGAGAUCACUAUUGGUGGGAAUUUGUCCCAGGCAAGACCUACCCAUAGCCAUUUCUAGGACUUUCUAAAACUGGAUCUGUCAUCAGGUCUCAUUCCUCUCUGGGCUGAGAUGUGAGAUGGGAGUCAGUCACCCAGGCCACAGGAGGCUAGAGUACUGAGGAUGGAGCUCUGUGUUGUGUGAACUCAACAUCAACAGCUUCUUCUGGGCUUGGUAGGAACCAGCAGCCCCAAAGGUCAUUGUAUCAUGCCGUGCUAGCUGGAGGCUAAACCACAGUGGACUCACUUUAAUGGCAACAGGGUGGGGGUAUAUUUAAGCUUAAGCAAUGACUCCGAAGCUAUGUUUUGUUGUCCAUAAUUAUGUUUUCUUUUUAAACUUUGACACUUGAUUCUCCUUCCUUCCUUAUUUUUGUUGGCCUGUGUUCCCUACACAUUGAAGGCUAUCUCUUUGUAGUUGUUUUUACUUGCAGCUAGUAGCUGUCUUAGACCUUUUGUGUUUCUGGUGGGAUGUUACUGGAGGAGGAUAUACAUGAACAAAUAAACAUUUGCUCUUAUCGAAAGGAUAAGCUUGAAAUUUUUAUAGUUGACUCUCAGAGUGAAAAAAUACCAUCAGAAAGAGGAGUUGAGUCUGUAUUGACUGCUGAGGUGAGAACAGGCUAACACCUGAAAUGGUGAGAACAGGUGACUUUUCUCACUGUGUGACAGAAUACUUGAUGGAGUAACUUAAAGGAGGUUCAUUCAUGCGGUCCACCGCAGGGUGGGGGCUGGGGGUGGCAUGAGGAGUGGUGCAGCCAGCUUGGAUCUGUAUGAAUCCAGGAACAGGGCCUGGUUAUGAUCUCAAGCCCUUUUCCCUCUAGUGAUUCACUUCCUCCAACUGGGUUUAGCCCUUUAAAGGCCCUACAGUGUCACAGAACAGUGUCACCAGUGUCAUGUAUUGAAACACAUGAAAUAAUGGGGAUGCCACAUUCAAAUCAUAACGGCAUCCUUGGGGCCAGUGUGAAGGACACAGCUUGAUGCCAGCUCUACUCUUGUUUCCUAGACAACACCUAUUCUUUACUUCUUAGACUCCUCAUCUGUGAACUGGAAAUAGACCUUCCACAGAGCUUUCUGGAGAGUGGGAUGAAUGAACCAAUUUAAGAGGCCUCUCGUGGUACAUGGAACACAGAAAGCUUGCUGGAGAUCAAACCCUGCUCUGGAGCAGGGCACACAGGUAAGAAGGCAGGCAGCUGUGAGGGAGCCCUCUAGGCACACUGGGUACCCUGCCUUCUCCAAGUCCCCGAGGCACAGGGACUUGGCUGUGCUAGACACAACUGCCUUUUCUGUGGCUAGUGGCUCUCCUAAGCCUGCCUGCACAACCUUGCAGAGCGGAUGUCCACAGGCAGACACCUGGGACCUGGCUCCUGAAGUUAUGGGACUGCCCUUUGCCUCCUGGAGCACAAGCCUGCUGGAGCAGCUGACAACCCUGUGACUCCAUUCAACUUGUCACCUCUUGCAUUUCCAGUCCUGGGCUGCUGCCUUUCCAGGAGAAGCCAGUGCUUCCUGCCUAGUGGUUAAAUGGGGGUGGGAUGGGGGAAUGACUCUACAGCUUGCAACAGGCAAAGGACACACAUUUCUCCAGCCUAUGGAUGCCAGCUAGGACUUCAGGAGGCUGCCCUGGUUCUCUGGAGUAGGUACCCAAGUGUCUGCUGCAUCUAACAUUCUUGGAUGGCAGCACGAAGACAUUUUGUGUGUGUGCAUAUAAGCAUCCGGAGAUCAGACUGAAGUGCAGACACCCUUGCCAUUGACAGGUCUGGGGAGCAGAGCCUGGCAGUCUUAGGGUCUAAAACCACAUUGCAAAUGGAAUGCAUUGGCUGACUCUGCCUGGGCUGGGGCCGUGGACCUGGAGGGCUCUGGUCUUCUCUAGUAGAACCGUGCCACUGUGCCCUGUCCAUCCUGGUCCCUCACCAGGCCAAACAUGAAGGGACAAUGUGCCCCGAGGAACAGGCGGUGCCGCUCACCUGGCUGAUGUCACUGGUCCACGCUGCCUUCUCCUGCCUGGAUGAGGCCACCAGGAUGACUGUGAAGGGCGAGGAAUCCUUUGGCUCCACCCCGAUCUUAAAAUCCAAGUGGUCUAUGUCCUGGGUAGUUCCUUUGGCUUUUCCAGUGACAAAAUAUGAAGUUAGCGGAGUGAGUGUGGGCGCUUGUGAGCUGGGUAAGGGUCUCUGGUCCCUGAGUUAGACACCAGUAGAGACUCCAGGACGAUGCCAGGCCACUGACUGCUCCUUUUAGAACAGUGUUUUAUGACUUUUGGCUAGGUGAGAGUCAUCAUUUCUAACAGGUGAGAACGGAGGAUCUGGCAUGCACAAAUAUUUUUUUGAGAAAUGUUGUUUAAUGGUAAAGCAUAGCACACUCCAGCACCAGGAUUGGCAUGGGAUGGCUGGGUGACCCCAAGGAGCCUCACAGGGCGAAGAGGAUGAGGGAGGCAACCAUCAAACAGAAGAGUCCCAUGGCCUCAGACAGGGCAAAGCCCAGAAUGGCAUAGGAGAAGAGCUGUAAAAAUAUGGAACCUUCACGAAUUUGCGUAUCAUCCUUGCGCAGGGGCCAUGCGAACCUUCUCUGUAUCGUUCCAAUUUUAGUAUAUGUGCUGCCGAAGCGAGCACCAUGCACAAGAAAUUUAAGGCACCCAGAUUCUUGAUUCAGAGCCUGAGUCACUGAGCAGUACGUCCUCUGCCCUCACUGCGCCAACGGGUUCUGAGCCAGGACUCAACUAAGCCUCCUAGCGAGGAGGCAGCUAUGCCAGGGUUAAACGGGGCCUCCCAACACAGUCCUCUCCCUAACACCUGGAACACACAACAUUGACAUCUGAAACUUUCCUGGACUGGGCUGAACAUUCAGUUUGGUUUACAGCUCCCCGGUGUGAAAGUAAAUACUGAUAUUCAA